rnacentral:rRNA from 1 species
CUACGGGUCGCUGCAGUGGGGAAUAUUGCACAAUGGGCGCAAGCCUGAUGCAGCCAUGCCGCGUGUAUGAAGAAGGCCUUCGGGUUGUAAAGUACUUUCAGCGGGGAGGAAGGGAGAAAAGUUAAUACCUUUGCUCAUUGACGUUACCCGCAGAAGAAGCACCGGCUAACUCCGUGCCAGCAGCCGCGGUAAUACGGAGGGUGCAAGCGUUAAUCGGAAUUACUGGGCGUAAAGCGCACGCAGGCGGUUUGUUAAGUCAGAUGUGAAAUCCCCGGGCUCAACCUGGGAACUGCAUCUGAUACUGGCAAGCUAGAGUCUCGUAGAGGGGGGUAGAAUUCCAGGUGUAGCGGCGAAAUGCGUAGAGAUCUGGAGGAAUACCGGUGGCGAAGGCGGCCCCCUGGACGAAGACUGACGCUCAGGUGCGGAAGCGUGGGGAGCAAACAGGAUUAGAUACCCUAGUAGUC